GAUGAACGCUGGCGGCGUGCCUAAUACAUGCAAGUCGAGCGAACGGACGAGAAGCUUGCUUCUCUGAUGUUAGCGGCGGACGGGUGAGUAACACGUGGAUAACCUACCUAUAAGACUGGGAUAACUUCGGGAAACCGGAGCUAAUACCGGAUAAUAUUUUGAACCGCAUGGUUCAAAAGUGAAAGACGGUCUUGCUGUCACUUAUAGAUGGAUCCGCGCUGCAUUAGCUAGUUGGUAAGGUAACGGCUUACCAAGGCAACGAUGCAUCGCCGACCUGAGAGGGUGAUCGGCCACACUGGAACUGAGACACGGUCCAGACUCCUACGGGAGGCAGCAGUAGGGAAUCUUCCGCAAUGGGCGAAAGCCUGACGGAGCAACGCCGCGUGAGUGAUGAAGGUCUUCGGAUCGUAAAACUCUGUUAUUAGGGAAGAACAUAUGUGUAAGUAACUGUGCACAUCUUGACGGUACCUAAUCAGAAAGCCACGGCUAACUACGUGCCAGCAGCCGCAGUAAUACGUAGGUGGCAAGCGUUAUCCGGAAUUAUUGGGCGUAAAGCGCGCGUAGGCGGUUUUUUAAGUCUGAUGUGAAAGCCCACGGCUCAACCGUGGAGGGUCAUUGGAAACUGGAAAACUUGAGUGCAGAAGAGGAAAGUGGAAUUCCAUGUGUAGCGGUGAAAUGCGCAGAGAUAUGGAGGAACACCAGUGGCGAAGGCGACUUUCUGGUCUGUAACUGACGCUGAUGUGCGAAAGCGUGGGGAUCAAACAGGAUUAGAUACCCUGGUAGUCCACGCCGUAAACGAUGAGUGCUAAGUGUUAGGGGGUUUCCGCCCCUUAGUGCUGCAGCUAACGCAUUAAGCACUCCGCCUGGGGAGUACGACCGCAAGGUUGAAACUCAAAGGAAUUGACGGGGACCCGCACAAGCGGUGGAGCAUGUGGUUUAAUUCGAAGCAACGCGAAGAACCUUACCAAAUCUUGACAUCCUUUGACAACUCUAGAGAUAGAGCCUUCCCCUUCGGGGGACAAAGUGACAGGUGGUGCAUGGUUGUCGUCAGCUCGUGUCGUGAGAUGUUGGGUUAAGUCCCGCAACGAGCGCAACCCUUAAGCUUAGUUGCCAUCAUUAAGUUGGGCACUCUAAGUUGACUGCCGGUGACAAACCGGAGGAAGGUGGGGAUGACGUCAAAUCAUCAUGCCCCUUAUGAUUUGGGCUACACACGUGCUACAAUGGACAAUACAAAGGGCAGCGAAACCGCGAGGUCAAGCAAAUCCCAUAAAGUUGUUCUCAGUUCGGAUUGUAGUCUGCAACUCGACUACAUGAAGCUGGAAUCGCUAGUAAUCGUAGAUCAGCAUGCUACGGUGAAUACGUUCCCGGGUCU
rnacentral:rRNA from 1 species